rnacentral:rRNA from 1 species
UACGUAGGGGGCUAGCGUUGUCCGGAAUCAUUGGGCGUAAAGCGCGUGUAGGCGGCCCGGUAAGUCCGCUGUGAAAGUCGGGGGCUCAACCCUCGAAUGCCGGUGGAUACUGUCGGGCUUGAGUACGGAAGAGGCGAGUGGAAUUCCUGGUGUAGCGGUGAAAUGCGCAGAUAUCAGGAGGAACACCGGUGGCGAAGGCGGAUCUCUGGGCCUUACCUGACGCUGAGGCGCGAAAGCUAGGGGAGCGAACGGG